GCCUAGAUAGCCCAGCUGGUUAGAGCAUGGCGGUGAUAGCGCCACGGUUGCAGGUUUGAUCCCUGUAUGGGACA